rnacentral:pre_miRNA from 1 species
UCUUAUGGAUGAAUAAAGAAAAUGGUUUCUUGAGAUGGAAUCUACUCCUGGUGUAGAUCUUGAGAA